rnacentral:lncRNA from 1 species
ACGACCAGAUCUUUGUUUGUGUCAGGAUGAGGUUCUCCUCCUGUUCCUGACACAAUCAACUUCAGCUCAUAUUAGGAUGAAGUUUUUCUCCUGUUCCUAACAGGGCUGCGGGGGCACAUAAGGGCCGUUGCAAGGGCCUCUCCCUCCAUCUAGUCUCUGAAUAAUCGAACCUUUGACCUUGCUCAUGUUAGGACGAGGUUCUCCUCCUAUUCCUAAUAUGGCUGUGGAGGUGCAUAAGGGCCAUUGCAAGGGCCUCUCCCCCCAUCCGAUCUCUAAGUAAUCAGGCCUUCGACC